rnacentral:rRNA from 1 species
UACAGAGGCCCCAAGCGUUACUGAGAAUCACUGGGUUUAAAGGGUGCGUAGGUGGCGCGUUAAGUCCGUUGUGAAAUCCCUGGGCUCAACCCAGGAAUUGCUUCGGAUACUGGCGUGCUUGAGGCUAGUAGGGGUCACUGGAACUGACGGUGGAGCGGUGAAAUGCGUAGAUAUCGGAAGGAACAUCAGUGGCGAAGGCGACUUCCUGGACCAAUACUGACGCUCAGGUGCGAAAGCGUGGGGAGCAAACAGG